rnacentral:rRNA from 1 species
UGGGGAAUAUUGCACAAUGGGCGCAAGCCUGAUGCAGCCAUGCCGCGUGUGUGAAGAAGGCCUUCGGGUUGUAAAGCACUUUCAGCGAGGAGGAAGGGUAGUGUGUUAAUAGCACAUUGCAUUGACGUUACUCGCAGAAGAAGCACCGGCUAACUCCGUGCCAGCAGCCGCGGUAAUACGGAGGGUGCAAGCGUUAAUCGGAAUUACUGGGCGUAAAGCGCACGCAGGCGGUUUGUUAAGUCAGAUGUGAAAUCCCCGCGCUUAACGUGGGAACUGCAUUUGAAACUGGCAAGCUAGAGUCUUGUAGAGGGGGGUAGAAUUCCAGGUGUAGCGGUGAAAUGCGUAGAGAUCUGGAGGAAUACCGGUGGCGAAGGCGGCCCCCCUGGACAAAGACUGACGCUCAGGUGCGAAAGCGUGGGGAGCAAAACAGGAUUAGAUACC